AGCUAUCGUGCCUGAAAAAUCAAGAAAAAAGUCACGAAAAGUAUUUAUAACUGGGAUUCGAGUUGGUGUGAAACAUUUUGGACGAUCCUGUGUCAGCAUUCUCAUAUAUUUCCCAUGAUAUUGAACCGUCUUGGAAGUAGGUAAUGAGGAAAUCAGCAGAUGAAUCAGCUGAAGCCUGGAAUCGAGCAAAACCAAAAUACCAUAACGCCAUUGCUACAUGCGAACACCACCUUUGCACCCACAUUGUAUGCAAGAAUGGUUUCCAAUCCGAUUUUACUGUUGUCCAGCAGUAUCUGUAUAAAAUAUUUCAUACUAUUCGAGUGUGGAAAAUGUAAUUUUGUUUUCAGCAAAAAUGCUAUUGUAUUAUUUGAUUUGACGUGAAUUUGAUAUUUUUGAAUUCGAUAAUAUGUCAUAUUAAUAAAAUUCUACAAAACUUUGUAUCAA